AGUAAUACAUAAGUAACCUGCCCUAGACAGGGGGAUAACUAUUGGAAACGAUAGCUAAGACCGCAUAGGUACGGACACUGCAUGGUGACCGUAUUAAAAGUGCCUCAAAGCACUGGUAGAGGAUGGACUUAUGGCGCAUUAGCUGGUUGGCGGGGUAACGGCCCACCAAGGCGACGAUCGGUAGCCGGACUGAGAGGCUGAACGGCCACAUUGGGACUGAGACACGGCCCAG
rnacentral:rRNA from 1 species